UCAAGCACGAACUGAGCUCAAAAAUUAAAUGUGAAAAAAUGAAAACCAAAUUAUUCAAAUUUGUGACAGAAAACUGAGAAUUUAUAAAUAAUUUUGUCAUUUAUAUGUGCGUUAUAUAAUCCACGACAAAGUUCUUAUGAUACGCCGCCAGAGCAGGGGCAUAACAAGAAACCUGAGUACUUAGCGCAAGUGGCGAGUGCCAAAGAGAAAUGCCUGGGCAACAAAAAUAAAAUAAGUCUUGCGCCCAGCUAAUUUACUUAGGAGAAUUGCCAAGCUUCCGGCUAUGAACUGCAGAAAGACUUGGCCAUAAUGAUUCGGUAUGCUAAUUGCCUUUUGCCACAUGCAGUGUGAAAUGUUGAAGUGCCCGAGAGAGACGAGGACACGCCAACUGGCCCAGUCACAUGAUAUAACAGCUAAGUAAAUCCGACAGUUAGCAAAUCAGAUCUUUCUAACACAACACGAACUACAAUUGCGUAAACUAGGUUGAGAAAAUGUAUUUAACAGGAAUAAAAAAGCAUCUGCGACUCUUAUCGAUA